rnacentral:misc_RNA from 1 species
UAAAUUUUCAAUUGACAAUUAUUACUUUUUCCUGCUCCGAAAAAUACGAAAAUCUGUUAUUUAUUAUUUUGUGACAAAGACAAAAAAAAUGCACUUCAAUUUUAACACUUACCAAUUUUAGUUCAGCCAAAUUUUCUUCAAGAGCGCAGAUCUUGCCUUGAGAAAUAAUAGCAUUCAAAUCAGCUCCUGAAAAUCCAUCUGUUUGGGCUGCCAAGGUUUUGAAAUCAAGAGAGCUGGUAUCUAGCUUCUGUGACCUGCACAAUGCUGUUAGUAUUUCUUCUCUUUCAUCCUGCAAAUAGCGUAACGGACAGAACAAGGAUUUGUCCAGACGACCUGGACGAAGAAGCGCUGGGUCCAAUAGGUCCGGUCGUGAGGAGGCAGCGACAACAGCCACCCCUUCCCUGCCUUCGACACCGUCCAAUUGAGCCAGAAAUUGAUUUACGACACGAUCAGUUACGCCAGUGCUGUCAUGACCACGCCUGGGAAUCAACAAAGUAAAGAACACAGAUCAGAUUUCCAGGACUCUAUUUUCAGGAAAACAAUUCUUUUUGUUUCGGUCAUCAACAUACCUUGGCGCAAGACUGUCAAACUCAUCAAAGAAUAAUACACAGGGUUUGGCACUGUUUGCUCUGUAAAACAGAAUGGGGGGCAAUCAAAUUUGAUGUUUCUAUAUCAUUGUAGAAUAAAUAUUACCCACUUUUCGAAUACGUUGCGCACCGCCUCUUCACUAGCUCCGAUAUAUUUCGAAAGCAACUCCGGGCCCUGGAAAUAAAAUCAAAGAUUCAAUUAAAGGUGAGAUUCUUAAAACUGACAAAUCUAAUAUUUUGCUUGAGACAUGAAUAAAUUCAGAUUCUCUCUAGAGCCUCACCUUGACGCUGAUAAAAUUUAACCCACAUUCCCUGGCGAUAGCCCCAGCAAGCAUAGUUUUUCCAGUUCCAGGUGCUCCAUACAGUAACACUCCACCUUGAUGUUUUAUUGGUGCGUUCUUGAAUAGCUCUUGAUACUUCAAAGGCCAAUGAAGAAGUUCAAUCAGUGAUUGCUUCACUUCUGCCAAUCCCCCUAUAUCUGACCAUGCGUGACCCGGUCCCGAGUACAAGUUGAUGCCUUGCAGAGAGAUUGGCAUGGAAGACUCUAAACCUUUGGAUAGGUCUUCGUCAUAGAGUAUUAGAGGAACUUUCGAACCACUCUGAACUAUGAAAAAAUAGUCAGGUAAGUUAUUCUAAACGGACCUAUCAUUUCUAUAAACGGAUUCAGAGAGGUGAUACAAGUGUUUAUAUAUUUACCAUGUCGUUUCCAUGCC